CGCACAGCUCAUUAACACGUGGCUAACCUGCCCUUGGGAUAGGGACAACCCCGGGAAACUGGGGCUAAUCCCCAAUAGGCGAAGAACCCUGGAAUGAGUCUUCACCUGAAAGGACGCUCACACUAUGCUUGUGGGCUUCGCCCAAGGAUGGGGCCGCGACCGAUCAGGUUGUUGGUGAGGUAACGGCUCACCAAGCCUAUAACCGGUGCGGGCCGUGGGAGCGGGAGCCCGGAGAUGGGCACUGAGACAAGGGCCCAGGCCCUACGGGGCGCAGCAGUCGCGCAAACUUUGCAAUACACGAAAGUGUGACAGGGCUAUCCCGAGUGCCGUCCGCUGAGGAUGGCUUUUACCCAGUCUAGAACGCUGGGGGAAUAAGGAGAGGGCAAGUCUGGUGUCAGCCGCCGCGGUAAUACCAGCUCUCCGAGUGGUGUGGAUGUUUAUUGGGCCUAAAGCAUCCGUAGCUGGCCAAGCCAGUCCCUUGUUAAACCCACCGAAUUAAUCGUUGGAGUGCGGGGGAUACUGCUCGGCUAGGGGACGAGAGAGGCAGACGGUAUUUUCGGGGUAGGGGUGAAAUCCUAUAAUCCCGGGAAGACCACCAGUGGCGAAGGCUGUCUGCUAGAACGCGCCCGACGGUGAGGGAUGAAAGCUGGGGGAGCGAACC
rnacentral:rRNA from 1 species